rnacentral:rRNA from 1 species
UACGGAGGGUGCAAGCGUUAUCCGGAUUUACUGGGCUUAAAGGGUGCGCAGGCGGAUAUGUAAGUCAGUGGUGAAAUCUCCGGGCUUAACCCGGAAACUGCCGUUGAUACUAUAUAUCUUGAAUGCUGUGGAGGUAAGCAGAAUAUGUCAUGUAGCGGUGAAAUGCUUAGAGAUGACAUAGAAUACCUAUUGCAAAGGCAGCUUACUACGCAGAUAUUGACGCUCAUGCACGAAAGCGUGGGGAUCAAACAGG